rnacentral:piRNA from 1 species
GUGGUGAUCAUAGCUGUAGGAGCCCUG